rnacentral:rRNA from 1 species
UACGGAGGAUCCGAGCGUUAUCCGGAUUUAUUGGGUUUAAAGGGUGCGUAGGUGGCUUUUUAAGUCAGGGGUGAAAGACGGUAGCUUAACUAUCGCAGUGCCUUUGAUACUGAAGAGCUUGAAUGAACUAGAGGUAGGCGGAAUGUGACAAGUAGCGGUGAAAUGCAUAGAUAUGUCACAGAACACCAAUUGCGAAGGCAGCUUACUAUGGUUUUAUUGACACUGAGGCACGAAAGCGUGGGGAUCAAACAGGAUUAGAAACCCCCGUAGUCC